rnacentral:rRNA from 1 species
AGGGAAUCUUCGGCAAUGGACGAAAGUCUGACCGAGCAACGCCGCGUGAGUGAAGAAGGUUUUCGGAUCGUAAAACUCUGUUGGUAGAGAAGAACGUUGGUGAGAGUGGAAAGCUCAUCAAGUGACGGUAACUACCCAGAAAGGGACGGCUAACUACGUGCCAGCAGCCGCGGUAAUACGUAGGUCCCGAGCGUUGUCCGGAUUUAUUGGGCGUAAAGCGAGCGCAGGUGGUUUAUUAAGUCUGGUGU